CCCAGACUCCUACGGGAGGCAGCAGUAGGGAAUAUUGCACAAUGGGGGAAACCCUGAUGCAGCGACGCCGCGUGAAGGAAGAAGUAUUUCGGUAUGUAAACUUCUAUCAGCAGGGAAGAAAAUGACGGUACCUGACUAAGAAGCCCCGGCUAACUACGUGCCAGCAGCCGCGGUAAUACGUAGGGGGCAAGCGUUAUCCGGAUUUACUGGGUGUAAGGGAGCGUAGGCGGUUUAGCAAGUCAGAAGUGAAAGCCCGGGGCUCAACUCCGGGACCGCUUUUGAAACUGUUGAACUAGAUUGCAGGAGAGGUAAGUGGAAUUCCUAGUGUAGCGGUGAAAUGCGUAGAUAUUAGGAGGAACACCAGUGGCGAAGGCGGCUUACUGGACUGUAACUGACGUUGAGGCUCGAAAGCGUGGGGAGCAAACAGGAUUAGAUACCCCCGUA
rnacentral:rRNA from 1 species